ensembl:lncRNA
CCUGAUUGGGCAGUCUUCCUGUCUGUGCAAUUACUUGCAAACAUACAGACCAUGCGUGCAUGAAGGCUUGCGGGAUCCAGCUUAGCUCUCUUUAAGAAAUUCCACUUUCACACACACAUCAGAUUUUCUGCCACAAGAUGCUAUUGUAUGCAUCCUAAAAAUUGCUAUUUAAGAUACAAAACUUGAUAAUUCCUGGUAAGGUCAAUGAGAAUUGCUGAUGCUUAAUUUCUCAUAGAGAGGUACCAAAGCAAGGUAUUUUCUGUGUAGCUGAACCCCAUUAGUAUUACGGAGAUAAUGGCAUGUGCACUGGAAGGAAAAUAGCCGGCUCAAAGAUGAGAGGAGACCACAUUUUUACGUAAUCAGCAGUUCAGCUAUUGAUUUUUUUUAAAGUAAGGCUUCAGCUGAAACCUUUCAGCAGGUGCUGUAACACAGAGCUUCGGGCAGAAGCUGAAUUUCAGGAAAUCAGAUGGAAUCUUAAUUCUACCUUAGAUUUCUGGCUGACCAUUUGUGGACUGCUAAGCACUGUUUCAAGUGACUUGAACCUGAAUUGCAGAUAGUGAACAGAUCACAAAUGGCAAAUGUCAUUUUUUUUAAACAACUCUGGCUGCUAUUUUAUCUGGAAAUCUUUUUUUUUUUAAGAUUCCAGCUUCAUCUGGUUGGGUCAACUCAAAUGCAAUUAAAUUCAAGAGAGCUAAACUCCAUUUUUAGUGUUCACAUCAAUUAGUAGAUCAAGUUAAAGACAGGUAGACACAUCUAGGAGCUUAUUUUGAUCUGCAAACUCAUGUCAAGGUUGCAGACUGUCUGGACUCGAGUGUUACUUUGUUAUUUAACUUGACUUCAUAACUCAAAGUGAAAACUUAAGUCUCAUUCUUGCAAAUACAAGAGACUAUUGUUGCUGAUCUCCACCCUCUAGAGUCUGGUGAAAAAAAAAAAAUCCAUCAGUUUGAAGAUUUGUAUCCUGACACAAGGAUUUGUAUUCUGGCCAUCCAUUAGUCUUAGCCUAUCUGGUUCAUCCCAUUUGCAGAACCUACAAUUUUGUGGACUCUGAUGUGCUCUUUCUGAUAGACAGACACAGAAGGCAUGCAGAGAAGGUGGAAAAAUCUGGGCAUGGAGUGUUUACUACUGGAACAAAACACUCCAACAAGAAAUUUGCUUGUAUAGAAGCGAGGGUAACCCGGAGGUGCAGGCAUCUACUUAUACGCCGUAUGGAUGCAUUUUGAUAAUAACCACACGAGGGCAGAAAAGAACAGACAUCUGCGGACAGCCAGACGGCAGCCUGAUUUAAGAGAAGCGUCAAGUUCUGAUAUUUUUGUAAGGGAUUUUCUAUAUUUAUCCAUUCAAACGCACACACAUCUGGAAUUAUUUAAAUAUAAAUAUAUCGAUAGAACACAUGUACACAGUGAAUAUAUAUUUAUAGUGUGCAUUUGUAAAUAUGUAUUUCUGGCAAGUAUGAGGAAAAUCGGUUUGGUUUUAAUUUUGGAUUGGCCUCAGUAAGGAUCUGAGAAUAACAGAGGCAUAAAAACAACUGAACCAUAUUUCCCUCUCAUUAACAUAAGCUGACAGUGCUUUCUUCAGUCUUUACUACUGUACAGGUAGGAGGCUGCGAUUAAGCAAGACAAGGAUCAAACUCUGAAAUGGGGAGACCCAUACAAUCAUAAGGGUUUCCAUGAUCAGGGACACCCCCAUUUUACGAGCUUCAGAUGUCCUGUACUGAGCAACUGGAAGAAGCGAGUUUUGGUCAUAUAAAGCACAAGUCAAAAAAACGAACUUUGUUAUUACUAAUCUACACAGUUACACUGAAUACAUGGUGCAUACCAGUAUUUAAAAUCUCCCAGCCUCACUAAAUCAAAGUGAUCUCAGAUAUGCAAUACAUUUUUAUAGGCAGCCUUGUAAAAAUUAUUCGUCAUGCUUGUAUGUCUGGAAUGUGUCAACAACACUGCAGGCACUGAACCAGCUGAUAGUAAUUACUGGGGGGGGGGGGGGGGGGGGGAGAAGAAAAGAAAAAGAAUUAGGAGCAAAAUUAACAACUGAAUUAUAUGAGGAAAAUUAAAAGAAGCUUAAUUGAGCAGAAGACCGAAAGCCACUUCCCCAGAAAUCCUAUCCCAGCUUACCAUCUUAUUCCUUGUACAGUGCCAAAUAAACCUAACGUUUCUGUUUCUCGUUGUUUCGAGGAUUAAUUAGUGGCACAACAAUUGGGAAACAAAUAAAAUAACAGAAAAUGCAAAGCAUUGUUAUCAUGAGCUUGAAGGUCCCUGAUCUGAUGUGGGUGCACAAGUGGAUGGCCUCUGCAUUGCGAACUACAUAGAAGCAAUACUUUAAAGGUGGUUGAUUUCUGCUUACCAUUACAUACUUAAAAUGAGGAGAAAAUAAUUGUAAUUAAAGUUUAAAUUAUGUUAUGAUGAAAUUCAAGACACAACUUGUGCUGGUUAAGCACCUCCUACCUUCUAUUGCUCUGUGGGGCACACUUCAUAGCUCGUUACUGAAGGGCAGCUGCAACACAAACAGCAAGAGCCCACCAGUGCUACAGAUGCUGCAGUACCUGUGAGUAACAACAGCUCGAUCACCACAAAUACUUAAUUACACAACUGAAGGAGAGAGAACAUGGUGCAAAUAUCAGCAACCUGAUGCUAAGCUGUGUUUUCUUUAGUGCUUAUUGCAAGCGAGAGUAACACAAUAUGUCGGUGCUCAUUGGGCUGAGGGUCUGAGCCUCCGGCCUGGAUGACACAUUGCAGUACAGCACCCAGUACCUCUCCUCAUCCCCUGGUUUAAGCAUGAUGGGGACCAACAUUUCACACAGUCUAAUAGUGACAGGAUACAUGAGAAUGGCUUUAAACUGAAAGAGGGGAAUCUUAAGUUACAUGUUCAGGAGUUUUUUACUCAGAGGGAGGUGAGGCCCUGGCAUAGGCUGUCCAGAGAAGCUGCAGCUGCCCCAUCCCUGCAGGCAUUCAGAGGCCAGGCCAGAUGGAGUCCUGAGCAGCCUGGUCUGCUGGGGCAGCCCUGCCCACAGCAUGGAGUUGGGACUGGAUGGUCUUUAAGGUCCCUUCCAACCCAAGCCAUUGUGGGAUUCUGCAGGGAGAAAAGCAGCACUCCUGGCAUGCCCCAGUGACACCCAGAAUGGGGCACUGGGAUUGCAGGGGGUGCCCUCAGAUGUCUGCACACAGAACCUAGAUGUAGCCUGCACUACUCAAAGCAAUCCAGUAGUUUGCUUUUCCCUUUUUUUUUCUUUUUUCCUCCAUGGUUAGCUGCUCAGAAGAAAUAGAGCUGAAGCAUGGUUUGUGCCAGCUUUGCUGGAGACAAGCAGCCCUGUGCAAGAGAAGCAUUUCUUUCUCUCCCUCUUAUAUUCUGCACUCACUUAAGGAGCAAACAUACAUACAUCAGUAUUGGGAACUUGUGUCUCAAGUGUUGACUUCUUUCUGAGCUCCUGACCUCACCUGGAGAGGAGGGAGUUGAGAACCACAGCAGAACACUGAACCUGCCAGGACCCAAAUAGCCUUUAAGGGAAAGUAAGGGGAAACAACAAGAAGAGAUUUGAAGAAGUGCCUGUGAUCAAUCACCACACAGCCACUGUCUAAGUUGAUCUCUCACAAACGCACUGAAGCUCUUAAUGACUGUAUUGAUAUAAACAUAGCUGCUUCAUUAUGAAAUAAUAAUAAUAAUAAAAAUAAAUACUAAUUUUCAAAUUUUUUUAAAAAGAAUCUGGUUCUCUAAUCACCUGAGGGGAGAAAACUACAUAAUUUAGAUGUAUGACAUUUGCCCUUCCCACCAUCCAGUAACAACUACCUGUGGCAACAUUGGCAAACUCAUUACAGCUGCUCUUGUCUGUAGGUGGACCAUUUUUUCUGGAAGUUGGUCAGCAGGGUUGAAUUGCUUUGAUUUUAUGCAGCAAAAGAUGGUCAGUAACAAAGUCUGUACCAAACUCCAGCAUCACCUGAGAUUUUAAUGACUUUAAUGGCCAAAAUAUUGGUUUGCAACCUAAGAGCUCUUGCUAAAAUGUAAUUGUAAUGUGUAGCCUUAAAAAUAUUAUUAAAAAAAAAAAACAACCAACAACAGCACAGGAUAAUGGUAAUCUUGACACUGGAAAAGUACUUUAAUUCACAAAGGAAACAUACAGAAACCUAUUUUGUUGGUUAAGCAGAAUCAUAUCCACAUGCGAUUCGGAAGGUAUUGGAAAGCUUGGUGAAGAAUUGUACUAAUUUCGGAGUUAAUCAAUUGCACAGUGCUGGGACAGACUGCAGCUGGGGAGGCCUCGACAGUGGCAAUGGGAGGCAGAAAUGCUAAAGUGAGGGGAUGACUGAGCAGGCAAAAGGAGUUGAUUUAUAAGUCUGAUUUAACUUUUGUGCCUGGAGACAUAUCACAAGGGGUAGAAGAUUAAUUUGUCUUUUAAAUGAAUUUUAAAUAGUUAAUUUGUCCAUAAAACAAAGCAUGCUUUGAUUUAGAAUAUAUUUCUCCAUUGUUUGCCUUUGUUCAAAAAAUAGCCAUAUUUCUGAUGGCUAUCAGUACAACAAUAUUCUUAGUAAAAAUGCCAGUCAGAAUUCAUUAGUAGGUCAUAUGAAUAUAUCGUGCACAUCAAGGAAAAUAAUAGAAAAAUAACCAGGAUAUAAGUGGUUUUCUGCAAUUUGAUGGCAGCAGUCACACUUAACAUGUACAGCUGCUGCUUUGCUGCUACCAUGGGAUGUGGUUGUUGCUUCCCUUCCGAUGGCACAAGUUUAAAGCAAGCAUACACUACCACUGAUCAAAACAUUAAGUUUGACAGCUCCUGUAAGGACGCCCUGCCAGAGCUUGUCAUUAACAGGGGAAGAUACUCUGAGGCACUGACUAACAGGACAAACAUGGAAAACAAAGGCUACAAGCAUUAUGCACAGCUAUUGCAGUGAUGCUUCAACACGAUUUAUCUAUCUGCUAAAGCAGGCAUUUUUCUGACAUUAAUAUCUGGACUGACAUUCAGACUAAGUUGUCUUCUAUCUUUUCAGUGAAAUAUUUAACAGCUUUAGCUGCUUGCACUGUUUCUUUUACUAAAAAUGCUGUUAUUCAAAUUUGAUAGGAUUGUAUAGCCUUUCUGUCUUUUACGUGCUACUAUUUUCUUCUGUAAUAAAUUCAAAUCUGUUUUAGAGGAAACUGCUUUUUGUUUGAAACUGGUGAGUUUAAAAUAAAUAUUCUGUGAAACAGUUUCCAUCCACGAUGAUCCCGAACACCUCCUGCUCACACUCUUGCUAUGUAUUAUCUUGCUAAUGAUAGGAAUAAAU